rnacentral:lncRNA from 1 species
AUUUACCAUGGGGGUUCAAUUUUCCAUACAGGGGGGGUUCAAUUUACCAUAGCGGUAUUUUGACCCCGGGGUCAAUUUACCAUGGGGUUCAAAAUACCAUAUGACAGCAGGUAAAAACCCCAAUUUGUGAAUUCUUAUCUGGAGCUCUGCAAUAACUUUAGUUUAAGUGAUUGGAUAUCUAUGAAAUUUAAACACAAGGUUUAAAACCACAACAAGAAGUUUGGCAUUGAUUUUGGGGGGUUAUGGUCCCGACAGUUUAGGAACAAGGGGCCCAAAAGGGGUCAUAAUAAGUAUUUUUCUAGUCUCCAGACAAUAACUGGAAGUGUAAGUGUAUGGAUCUUUCUGAACUUGUACCACAAGGUUCCAUAUCACAAAGGGAAGGC